GCAAGUCGAACGGUAACAGGUCUUCGGAUGCUGACGAGUGGCGAACGGGUGAGUAAUACAUCGGAACGUGCCCGAUCGUGGGGGAUAACGGAGCGAAAGCUUUGCUAAUACCGCAUACGAUCUACGGAUGAAAGCAGGGGACCGCAAGGCCUUGCGCGGACGGAGCGGCCGAUGGCAGAUUAGGUAGUUGGUGGGAUAAAAGCUUACCAAGCCGACGAUCUGUAGCUGGUCUGAGAGGACGACCAGCCACACUGGGACUGAGACACGGCCCAGACUCCUACGGGAGGCAGCAGUGGGGAAUUUUGGACAAUGGGCGCAAGCCUGAUCCAGCCAUGCCGCGUGCAGGAUGAAGGCCUUCGGGUUGUAAACUGCUUUUGUACGGAACGAAAAGACUCUGGUUAAUACCUGGGGUCCAUGACGGUACCGUAAGAAUAAGCACCGGCUAACUACGUGCCAGCAGCCGCGGUAAUACGUAGGGUGCAAGCGUUAAUCGGAAUUACUGGGCGUAAAGCGUGCGCAGGCGGUUAUGUAAGACAGAUGUGAAAUCCCCGGGCUCAACCUGGGAACUGCAUUUGUGACUGCAUAGCUAGAGUACGGCAGAGGGGGAUGGAAUUCCGCGUGUAGCAGUGAAAUGCGUAGAUAUGCGGAGGAACACCGAUGGCGAAGGCAAUCCCCUGGGCCUGUACUGACGCUCAUGCACGAAAGCGUGGGGAGCAAACAGGAUUAGAUAUCCUGGUAGUCCACGCCCUAAACGAUGUCAACUGGUUGUUGGGAAUUCACUUUCUCAGUAACGAAGCUAACGCGUGAAGUUGAC
rnacentral:rRNA from 1 species